rnacentral:rRNA from 1 species
AUUGAACGCUGGCGGCAGGCUUAACACAUGCAAGUCGAGCGGAGAUGAGGUGCUUGCACCUUAUCUUAGCGGCGGACGGGUGAGUAAUGCUUAGGAAUCUGCCUAUUAGUGGGGGACAACAUUCCGAAAGGAAUGCUAAUACCGCAUACGUCCUACGGGAGAAAGCAGGGGAUCUUCGGACCUUGCGCUAAUAGAUGAGCCUAAGUCGGAUUAGCUAGUUGGUGGGGUAAAGGCCUACCAAGGCGACAAUCUGUAGCGGGUCUGAGAGGAUGAUCCGCCACACUGGGACCGAGACACGGCCCAGGCUCCUACGGGAGGCAGGAGUGGGGAAUAUUGGACAAUGGGGGAAACCCUGAUCCAGCCAUGCCGCGUGUGUGAAGAAGGCCUUAUGGUUGUAGAGCACUUUAAGCGAGGAGGAGGCUACUGAGACUAAUACUCUUGGAUAGUGGACGUUACUCGCAGAAUAAGCACCGGCUAACUCUGUGCCAGCCGCCGCGGUAA